rnacentral:rRNA from 1 species
AGAGUUUGAUCCUGGCUCAGGAUGAACGCUAGCGGCAGGCUUAACACAUGCAAGUCGAGGGGUAUAGUUCUUCGGAACUAGAGACCGGCGCACGGGUGCGUAACGCGUAUGCAAUCUACCUUUUACAGAGGGAUAGCCCAGAGAAAUUUGGAUUAAUACCUCAUAGUAUAUAGCCCUGGCAUCAGGAUUAUAUUAAAGUCACAACGGUAAAAGAUGAGCAUGCGUCCCAUUAGCUAGUUGGUAAGGUAACGGCUUACCAAGGCUACGAUGGGUAGGGGUCCUGAGAGGGAGAUCCCCCACACUGGUACUGAGACACGGACCAGACUCCUACGGGAGGCAGCAGUGAGGAAUAUUGGACAAUGGGCGCAAGCCUGAUCCAGCCAUGCCGCGUGCAGGAUGACGGUCCUAUGGAUUGUAAACUGCUUUUAUACGAGAAGAAACACUCCUUCGUGAAGGAGCUUGACGGUAUCGUAAGAAUAAGGAUCGGCUAACUCCGUGCCAGCAGCCGCGGUAAUACGGAGGAUCCAAGCGUUAUCCGGAAUCAUUGGGUUUAAAGGGUCCGUAGGCGGUUUAAUAAGUCAGUGGUGAAAGCCCAUCGCUCAACGGUGGAACGGCCAUUGAUACUGUUAGACUUGAAUUAUUAGGAAGUAACUAGAAUAUGUAGUGUAGCGGUGAAAUGCUUAGAGAUUACAUGGAAUACCAAUUGCGAAGGCAGGUUACUACUAAUUGAUUGACGCUGAUGGACGAAAGCGUGGGUAGCGAGCAGGAUUAGAUACCCUAGUAGUCC